rnacentral:misc_RNA from 1 species
AACGCACAUUGCGCCCUCUGGUAUUCCGGGGGGCAUGCCUGUUCGAGCGUCAUUACACCACUCAAGCUCUGCUUGGUAUUGGGAGGCCGCCCCGGCGGGGCGCCCCCGAAAGUCAGCGGCGGUGCGAGCCGGACUUCCCAGCGCAGUGACAAUUCUUCUCGCUACGGAGUCGGCGCGUCCACCAGCCGGACAAACCCUUUUUAUUUUCAAUGGUUGACCUCGGAUCAGGUAGGGAUACCCGCUGAACUUAA